rnacentral:piRNA from 1 species
ACCAGGCUGGUCUCGAACUCGUAGA